AUGUUUCCCCUUCACCGGAAAUCCGACACAUGUGAUAUUCUCAUCAACUUUGUUGCACACGCACGCACACAAUUCAACCUCCCCGUCAUCUCCUUCCAGACCGAUAAUGGUACCGAGUUCGUUAACUCUACCUUCACCGAGUUCCUUGCCCGCAACGGUAUACACCUCCGCAUGUCCUGCCCAUACAUCUCCCCUCAAAACGGCAAGGCCGAACGAGCACUUCGCACCCUCAACGACAUUACCCGCACCUUGCUGUUCCAAGCUUAUAUGCCCCUUGCGUACUCGGCUGAGGCCCUUGCCGUCGCAACCUUCUUGCUUAACCAUUGUCCUAGCCAAGCCUUGGACUUCCGGAUCCCGUAUACCCUCCUUUAUAAAAACCCCUCCCUCUCUGACCUCCGUGUCUUCGGGUGCCUAUGCUACCCUAACCAGUCCGCCAUGACACCGCAUAAACUCGCCCCUCGCUCCACCGCAUGCGUCUUUCUUGGGUACCCUGCAUUGCAUCGCGGCUAUCGGUGUCUCGACCUAACGACACGCCUCAUCAUCAUCUCGCGACAUGUCAUUUUUGACGAAAACACCUUUCCUUUCGCCACCACUCGAACCACUCAGUCUCCGGACGAUCUCGAUUUUCUUCUCGACUUGGUCGCCACGCAGCCUGCUACCGCGGUCGUCGUGCCUCCCGCAGACCAGCCCAACAUGGCGCCGACCUCCUCGGCCCAGCCCGCCAUGCAUGGCUCGGGGCCUUCCACCCCGACGUUGAUCGCCACAGCGCCCGCCUCACCCGCGCCGCUCUCGUCUGCGUCCCCCUCACCACCACCACCACCACCACCCCCUUCUCGUCGCUCUUGCGACAGUACCGCCUCCACCACCAACACUCACACCAUGCUCACUCGCGCCAAAUGUGGUGUUUUCAGCCCAUUAAUAAACUUAAUCUAUCAGCUGAACACUCCUCUCUCUCUCCUAUUCCCAAAACAUAUCGCUCUACUCUCCAGGAUCCUCUUUGGCGUGCUGCCAUGA
rnacentral:rRNA from 1 species